rnacentral:rRNA from 1 species
ACGAGAGCCUCGAGCGUUAUCCGGAAUUAUUGGGCGUAAAGGGUGCGUAGGUUGUUCUGUUAGUCUUUUGUUAAAUCCCCGAGCUUAACUUGGGAAUCGCAAAAGAAACGGCAGGACUUGAAAGUGUGAGAGGCGUACGGAACUCAUGGUGUAGGGGUAAAAUCCGUUGAUAUCAUGGGGAACACCAAAAGCGAAAGCAGUACGCUGGCGCAUGUUUGACACUGAAGCACUAAAGCGUGGGGAGCGAACGGGA